UACGUAGGUGGCAAGCGUUGUCCGGAAUUGUUGGGCGUAAAGCGCGCGCAGGCGGUCCUUUAAGUCUGAUGUGAAAGCCCACGGCUCAACCGUGGAGGGUCAUUGGAAACUGGGGGACUUGAGUGCAGGAGAGAAGAGUGGAAUUCCACGUGUAGCGGUGAAAUGCGUAGAGAUUUGGAGGAACACCAGUGGCGAAGGCGACUUUCUGGUCUGUAACUGACGCUGAGGCGCGAAAGCGUGGGGAGCAAACAGG
rnacentral:rRNA from 1 species